UACGAAGGGGGCUAGCGUUGCUCGGAAUUACUGGGCGUAAAGGGCGCGUAGGCGGAUCAGCAAGUUGGGGGUGAAAGCCCGGGGCUCAACCUCGGAAUUGCCUUCAAAACUGCUGAUCUAGAGUACGGGAGAGGUGUGUGGAACUCCGAGUGUAGAGGUGAAAUUCGUAGAUAUUCGGAAGAACACCAGUGGCGAAGGCGACACACUGGCCCGUUACUGACGCUGAGGCGCGAAAGCGUGGGGAGCAAACAGG
rnacentral:rRNA from 1 species